rnacentral:rRNA from 1 species
GAGUUUGAUCUUGGCUCAGAUUGAACGCUGGCGGCAGGCCUAACACAUGCAAGUCGAGCGGAUGAAGGGAGCUUGCUCCUGGAUUCAGCGGCGGACGGGUGAGUAAUGCCUAGGAAUCUGCCUGGUAGUGGGGAUAACGUCCGGAAACGGGCGCUAAUACCGCAUACGUCCUGAGGGAGAAAGUGGGGGAUCUUCGGACCUCACGCUAUCAGAUGAGCCCAGGUCGGAUUAGCUAGUUGGUGGGUAAAGGCCUACCAAGGCGACGAUCCGUAACUGGUCUGAGAGGAUGAUCAGUCACACUGGAACUGAGACACGGUCCAGACUCCUACGGGAGGCAGCAGUGGGGAAUAUUGGACAAUGGCGAAAGCCUGAUCCAGCCAUGCCGCGUGUGUGAGAAGGUCUUCGGAUUGUAAAGCACUUUAAGUUGGGUAGGAAGGGCGAGUAAGUUAAUACCUUGCUGUUUUGACGUUUACCAAC